rnacentral:rRNA from 1 species
CCUACGGGUGGCAGCAGUAAGGAAUAUUGGUCAAUGGCCGAGAGGCUGAACCAGCCAAGUCGCGUGAGGGAAGAAUGUCCUAUGGAUUGUAAACCUCUUUUGUCAGGGAGCAAAUUCACCCACGUGUGGGUUUUGGAGAGUACCUGACGAAAAAGCAUCGCCUAACUACGUGCCAGCAGCCGCGGUAAUACGGAGGAUGCGAGCGUUAUACGGAAUUGUUGGGUUUAAAGGGUACGUAGGCGGGUUGUCAAGUCAGCGGUAAAAUCGUGGAGCUCAACCCCAUCCCGCCGUUGAUACUGAUGAACUUGAGUGGGAGAGAGGUAAGCGGAAUGCGAGGUGUAGCGGUGAAAUGCAUAGAUAUAACGAAGAACACCGAUGGCGAAGGCAGCAUACUGGCGCCCAACUGACGCUGAAGGACGAAAGCGUGGGGAGCGAACAGGAUUAGAUACCCUGGUAGUC